GAAAGGUAACUGUUAAAGGAAUUGUGAAAAAAUAAUCAGAAGUUUCCCAGUUCUCCACAGGGAUCUGUCCCAGGGCUGCUAUACUCACUCUUGAACUUCAAGAAAUGUGUCUCCUGCCUUCUCUUCUUCUCCAUCAGUGACAAGCAUCAACAGUGCCUGUACCAUCUGGGUUAAGCAUAUCUCUGCAAAGUGCCGUAUCUGUUGAUCCUCUCUACCCAGGACUCAAAGGGCCCAGGAGCUCCAACUUAGAAAGUUCCUGAUAAAGUAGGCUAUGAGGCCCCCCUUUCAUCGGGAAGACUUCCUGUAUGUUGGUCUCCACUGACCAGCAAUGCCCUCCAAGCACAUAUUUUUGGAGUGGAGCAUUAACCCCUAAGCCAAGAGGACUCUCUCUCCCGAGCUCCUUGUAAGAGUAGAGGCCAUAGGUUCAAGGACAGAUUCCCAUAGAGGACUGUCCAUAAGAAAUACAUUCCUUCACAAAGCCAGACCAGAUAGGUGAGACAUUAUGUCCAGAAUCCCUGGAACUGGCUCUGCUGAAGACCACCAGGAUGGAGGGCAAGACAUGUGAAAAGAGGGAUCUUCAGUUCCAAAGGCAAUUGCAUAACAAAAUGGAAGGACAGAUGCUCAUUGGUUCCAUCUUCAAGUGUGGGUCUGGACUCACGGUUGGUACCAUCUUGUUCAUCUAAAAACUAUUCAGCUGCAACAGACAAGCUGGGCCCUUCAGGCAUGUCUCAUGGAACAACCUGGAUCCUGGGCCAUACAGAGACUUAGUUCUCCCUUACCCACAUCUCCACUCCUUUCCAGCCCUGCCCUCCUGAGGGAUGUCCUUAUUACUGAGGAGGAAUAUUUUCCAAUAUUUCAGGAUCUAUUUCCUCUCCAACUAUCAGCCCUUCAGUAAUGAUUACACCUCUGCUACCAACAGAACGGUCCUCAGAGUCAGUAGAGAUAACCACACCAGUAUCUCCGUGAAGGCACAAGAGUCUCGACAGACAGGUAUCCCUCCAGGCAUGACCCCCUUCCAACUAACACAGCUAUACUAUAGCCAGUCAGAGCAGUAUGGCCCAUACCAGCAUCUUAUGCCCCUACACCAAAAAAGGUGAAGAGAGGUUAUUUUGUUCCUGCUAAAGGAGA